rnacentral:rRNA from 1 species
AUUGAACGCUAGCGGGAUGCUUUACACAUGCAAGUCGAACGGAGUGGCGGACGGGUGUGAAAUAUAUCGGACAGUGCCCAGUAGCGGGGGAUAACUACUCGAAAGAGGGGCUAAUACCACAACAUCUUGGAGCGGCCGAUAUCGGAUUAGCUAGUUGGUGGGGUAAAGGCUCACCAAGGCAACUCUCCGUAGUUGGUUAGCGAGGACGACCAGCCACACUGGGACUGAGACACGGCCCAGACUCCUACGGUAGGCAGCAGUGGGGAAUUUUGGACAAUGGGGGAAACCCUGAUGCAGCCAUCCCGCGUGUAUGAGGAAGGCCUUCGGGUUGUAAAGUACUUUUGGCAGAGAAGCGGUAUCUGCAGAAGAAGCACCGGCUAACUACGUGCCAGCAGCCGCGGUAAUUC